UGUACACGUAUGACAUGUCAAUCACCUGUC
rnacentral:piRNA from 1 species